rnacentral:tRNA from 1 species
GGGCGCAUAGCUCAGGUGGUCUAGAGCGCUUGCUUCACACGCAAGAGGUCCGGGGUUCGAAUCCCUGUGCGCCCA